rnacentral:rRNA from 1 species
GUCCACGCCGUAAACGAUCAUUACUCGAUAUUGGCGAUAUAUUGUCAGUGUCUAAGCGAAAGUGAUAAGUAAUGCACCUGGGGAGUACGAUCGCAAGGUUGAAACUCAAAGGAAUUGACGGGGGCCCCGCACAAGCGGUGGAGCAUGUGGUUUAAUUCGAUGAUACGCGAGGAACCUUACCAGGGCUUAAAUGUAGAAGGAAUGAUGUGGAAACAUGUCAGUCUUCGGACCUUCUACAAGGUGCUGCAUGGCUGUCGU